ensembl:snRNA U6 U6 spliceosomal RNA
GUGUUUGCUUUGGCAGCACAUAUAAUAGAAUUGGAAUGAUACAGAGAAGAAUUAGUAUGGUUUCUGAACAAGGAUGACAUGCAAAUUCCUGAAGCAUUUCAUCUUUUU